rnacentral:rRNA from 1 species
CUACGGAGGAUGCGAGCGUUAUCCGGAUUUAUUGGGUUUAAAGGGAGCGUAGGCGGGAGCUUAAGUCAGCGGUUAAAUGGUGCGGCUCAACCGUGCCCUGCCGUUGAAACUGGGUUUCUUGAGAGUGCAAGAGGCGGAUGGAAUUCAUGGUGUAGCGGUGAAAUGCUUAGAUAUCAUGAAGAACUCCGAUUGCGAAGGCAGUCCGCUGGGGCACGUCUGACGCUGAUGCUCGAAGGUGCGGGAAUCAAACAGGAUUAGAUACCCUGGUAGUCCGCACGGUAAACGAUGAUUACCCGCUGUCGGCGGUAGACAGUCGGCGGCCAAGCGAAAGCGAUAAGUGCCCCACCUGGGGAGUACGGUCGCAAGGCGGAAACUCAAAGGAAUUGGCGGGG